rnacentral:rRNA from 1 species
CGGGUGAACGCUGGCGGCGUGCCUAACACAUGCAAGUCGAGCGGUGCAGUUUGAAGCUUCGGUGGAAAGCUGCAUAGCGGCGGACGGGUGAGGAAAACGUAGGAACGUGCCCCUUGGAGUUGGAUAGCCACGGGAAACUGUGGGUAAACCGACAUAGACUCGAGAGAGUAAAGGCCGAAAGGCGCCAAGGGAGCGGCCUGCGGCCCAUCAGGUAGUUGGUAGUGUAAAGGACUACCAAGCCGACGACGGGUAGCCGGUCUGAGAGGAUGGCCGGCCACAAGGGCACUGAGAGACGGGCCCUACUCCUACGGGAGGCAGCAGUGAGGAAUAUUGCGCAAUGGGGGCAACCCUGACGCAGCAACGCCGCGUGAGUGAGGAAGGUUUUCGGACUGUAAAGAUCUGUCCUAUGGGACGAAACAAAUGACGGUACCAUAGGAGGAAGCCCCGGCUAACUACGUG